UAUAUAGAUAAUUUGCAAAUAGACAACUUAUAAUUAUAAACUUAUAAUUAUAAAACUCCAAUAUAUCUUUAAAAAUGCCUGAGAAUAUUUAUGUCCAAUAAUUACAAACUGGACAAACUGAUAUUGCAUGACAUGUGUAGCUUUCUUUAGACUCUCUGUUCAAGAUAAGAUGCAUAUGCGUCUUGUUAUGUUACAGAGUAGCCAACUUAUGAGUGAUAUUCCUAGUCGUCUUCUGGCGAAUAAAAUUUUUUUAUAUUUGUAUAUACCUAAAUAACUAGUAAAUACAUAGUAAAUAUCUAGUAUAUACUCGUCUACUUAUAAAUAAGCAAUUUUUAUUUCUUCAAGAAACAACGAAUACUACCCUAAGCUGCUUUACUUUCAUAAUAGAGAAUCCCAUAUUUUUUUAAGCAAAGUUUAUUUAAGAUUGGGCUUCCCCUAUCACGUAGGUCACUUGCAGCCAGGAUGGUAUAAAUAUGCGUGCGAGAUGACUUACGUUUCAAAAUCUUCACAACUGUGCCGCAAGUAAUUGCAAUUCUGUAUCGUCAACUGCGCAAUUUCUGCUGAAAAAAGUCUUCGUGAAUUCAUCGAGUCUUUCGCUUUUGGAAAGCAA